AACGCACCUUGCACUCCUUGGUAUUCCGAGGAGUAUGCCUGUUUGAGUGUCAUUAAAUUCUCAACCUUACCAGCUUUUGCGAGCUUGUGUAAUGGCUUGGAUGUUGGGGGCUUUGCUGGCUUCGGUCUGCUCCCCUUAAAUGCAUUAGCCGGUGCCCCGCGUGGAACCGUCUAUUGGUGUGAUAAUUAUCUACGCCGUGGACGUCCACUUUAAUGGGUUGUGCUGCUUCUAACCGUCUGUUUAUUCAGACAAAUAUGACAAUUUGACCUCAAAUCAGGUAGGACUACCCGCUGAACUUAA
rnacentral:misc_RNA from 1 species